rnacentral:lncRNA from 1 species
UUAACUCUGGGAAAUCCAAAUAGCAGUAAUGCACAUAACACAAACAUGAAUAAAAAGAAGAAUAAGUUUCAAAGUAUAGUGCACUAACCAGUUGCAGACAAACUAAAAAAAGGAUAAAGAACUCGAAAACAUCAAUAAUAGCAUGCAAAAUCAAUUAGAAUCAAUUUAAGAAGAAUUAGGCAAACCCUAGUUUGAAAAGAAGAACAAAAAUAGUAAAAAUGUCUCAAUUACUCGGACUAAUAAGAUCUGGAAGUGAGUGUAUCAGGUCAGAAACAUGAAGAUAAUACAUAAUCGGAGUUGAACGAACAUCGGUGAUUCAUUUUCCAUAAAUAAUCGAGUACCAAAUGAUUGUAAUGUUUAAGAGAUGGUAAGCGUCUCCGUGUGUGCAAGAAAAGAAAGGAAUCAUGGAAGAUUUCCAUGUGAAUAUCGAAUUGGGACUGGGAUUUGAGUGGAGCAGCUAGGGUUUGUAGAAGAGAGGAGUAGGUUCGAGAAAGCAUAGAGGC